CCCCGCCGUACCACGACCGUUGUGACACUUGUAGCCCCUGACGAUUUUUCACUUGUUCAGUACUUCAUGAAGCGUGUGGGUGCGGAGGGUCCCGUGAUCAACAUUGGCCCGACGCAUCCGCUGCUCC
rnacentral:ribozyme from 1 species